CAAACCAAAUAUCCGAAUAAUUGGUUUCCUGCUUGCUGUUCAGUUGCUUCGGGUUUGAUGACUGGCGGCUCGCAAAACAGAGUCCUAUCUCAAAGCCUUUUGAUUGGAGCCUCUGGCGCUAAUGGAGACUCGUGUGGACAUUCAGGCUCUGCUGAGUUGAAGCUGAAAGUUAAUCAAGGGUUUCUAAUAAGGGAAUACCGUGAACUAUAAAUACAGCCCAAUUAUCCUGAGCUUUUAGUUGAAUUAUCAAUGCUCAUCGGUCUUUGAAUCACACGUCUUCCGGACCAUCACGGUAUACCUGUGACAUAGUGUUGUGUAGCACACGGUACACCGAUACCCAUUCACUGGCAUACUUGCUUUGAGGUGCGCUCCGUUCCUCGAGAAUUCGACGAAUUUGCCCUAAUACACUCAGAACUAUUCCCACCCCCUCGCCAUGUCGAAGCAAAUCAAAGAAUUUUUCUCAAAGAUCAGGAAGAAUUACGACAUUGCGAAAAAAACUGGGUGCAACGUUUACCUCUGGCAGCCGCAUCCUUCCGUCGCAGACCACCAAAAAUGACGCAGAUUACCAGCUGCGCCUUGACGCAGGUGAACUAAUCGACAAACGAUACCAAAAUAUUGUUUUGCAAGUUAACUCGCAAGCUAAAAACACGGGUUUACGAGAAUGGGUCAAGAAACAACCGCAGGGCACGCAUGCGAAACUAGCCACUGCUCGCUUCGACACCCUCGCUGAAGACCAGGAUGCUGAAACAGAAAGGGUCCUGAAUGAACUACAGGAGCAGGCUAGGAAGAACCUGUAAAUAAGGGUUAGAAAUACUGUACUUCAGGAAACGAGAUCAAUCCUUAAGUAGUCAACUCGGGGAGGGCGGAUAUAGCAUCGGUGCAACACGUGAGAAAUAUUGAGUCUGGUUUGUUUCCUUUACAGUAAUUGAGAAGCGGUCUUCGCGGGGUUCUAUGACCUACCUGUCUUCUACACAGAACACAGUGAUUAGUAACGAGCUUUGAUGUUAGAAAAGCUGAAGCAACUCGAGCGGCUGGUGGGGCGCGCAGUUUCAAACCGCCAAAUAACCGUGUCCAAUCAACCGUCCGGAAAACCACAAGUUCCCCACUGGCUACUCCCGUAGUUCAAAAACACCUUCAAGUUCGCGGUUCAGGACAGCCUCAAUCAAAGCCUCGGCUCUUCAUGUCUUUCCAUGUUACCUAAGGCUACUUAAAGGGCAGUCUUCUCCCUCUCGAACAGGAGCAGGCGCCUUAAAAACUUUUUUCUAUUAUAUUAUUUCUAUUAUACAGAUAGUGAAGAUUAAACAGCAGUGAGAAAUUAAUUAAUCUAUCAAAUUCUAUCUCUUUUCAUACACAGAAAUAAAAAAGAAAUAAAAAUAAAAUAAAUUUAUAUAUUAUUAUUUAUUUAUUCUAUUUCUCUAUAUAUACUAUCUGUAUAUUUUUUAAUCUGCUUUAUCUACUGAUUCUUAGUAUAUUCUCUUUCUAUAUUAUUCUCUCUAUAAUAAAAUUAUAUUAUAACUGUUUUUAUACAGCAGCUGCUUUAACAGCAGUAUCAACAGCAGAGAUUAUAUCAGUCUUUCUUAUUUAUAUAAAGAUACAAGAAUUUCAAAGUAGAUAAAUAAGAAUAAAAAUAGUUAAGAAUAGAAAUCUGAUGGAGGUGGACGGUUGGUUUAUUGUAACUAUCUAGUGGGCGCAGCACUGCUUAAAUAGGUGUGGGUCACGUGGCAUAAGCAAGCAUUAGGGAUGCCAACAAAAUCAAUAUAAAAGC
rnacentral:sRNA from 1 species